rnacentral:misc_RNA from 1 species
GAUGAAGAACGUAGCGAAAUGCGAUAAGUAAUGUGAAUUGCAGAAUUCAGUGAUUCAUCGAAUCUUUGAACGCACAUUGCGCCCGCCAGUAUUCUGGCGGGCAUGCCUGUUCGAGCGUCAUUUCAACCAUCAAGCCCCAGGCUUGUGUUGGGGACCUGCGGCUGCCGCAGGCCCUGAAAACCAGUGGCGGGCUCGCUGUCACACCGGGCGUAGUAGAUUUUAUCUCGCUCAGGGCGUGCUGCGGGUUCCGGCCGUUAAAAAGCCUUUUUUACCCAAGGUUGACCUCGGAUCAGGUAGGAAGACCCGCUGAACUUAAGCAUAUCAAUAAGCGGAGGA